GAUGAACGCUGGCGGCGUGCCUAAUACAUGCAAGUCGAGCGAACGGACGAGAAGCUUGCUCCUCUGACGUUAGCGGCGGACGGGUGAGUAACACGUGGAUAACCUACCUAUAAGACUGGGAUAACUUCGGGAAACCGUAGCUAAUACCGGAUAAUAUUUUGAACCGCAUGGUUCAAUAGUGAAAGACGGUCUUGCUGUCACUUAUAGAUGGAUCCGCGCUGCAUUAGCUAGUUGGUAAGGUAACGGCUUACCAAGGCAACGAUGCAUAGCCGACCUGAGAGGGUGAUCGGCCACACUGGAACUGAGACACGGUCCAGACUCCUACGGGAGGCAGCAGUAGGGAAUCUUCCGCAAUGGGCGAAAGCCUGACGGAGCAACGCCGCGUGAGUGAUGAAGGUCUUCGGAUCGUAAAACUCUGUUAUUAGGGAAGAACAAAUGUGUAAGUAACUAUGCACAUCUUGACGGUACCUAAUCAGAAAGCCACGGCUAACUACGUG
rnacentral:rRNA from 1 species